rnacentral:lncRNA from 1 species
GUCCACGUUCAGUUAUAAAAUUAUUACGAUUUAUAAGAAACCCUAGAAAUCGGUUCUGGAAACCUUAAUUUCAGUACCAGAAAUCCGAAAUCCUAAUUCAGUAUUUGAAACCCUAAUUUGGGAAGUCAAAGGCUAAAUAUAAUGGCUUAAGUAUUUUUGAUUAUAUAUUAGGGAUAACCCUAAUUGUUAAAUUAGAAAUCCUAAUGUUUUGUAUAAAACCCUAAGGGAUUAAAAGUUAUG